rnacentral:tRNA from 1 species
UCCCUGGUGGCUCAGUAGUAAAGAAUCUGCCCACAAUGCAGAAGACCCAGGUUCGAUCCCUGGGUCGGGAA